rnacentral:rRNA from 1 species
UUGGAGGGCAGUCUGGUGCAGCAGCGCGGUAAUUCCAGCUCCAUAGCGUAUAUUAAGUUGUUGCAGUUAAAAAGCUCGUAGUUGAAUUUCGGGAUCAGAGUGUCGGUCGUGCCUCGGUACGCACUGGUAUUAUUGGUUCCUACCUUCUGAAGAACCGCGAUGUCAUUAAUUUGGUGUCGUGGGGAAUCAGGACUGUUACUUUGAAAAAAUUAGAGUGUUUAAAGCAGGCUUACGCUUGAAUACAUUAGCAUGGAAUAAUGAAAUAGGACGUUUGAUUCUAUUUUGUUGGUUUCUAGGAUUGACGUAAUGAUUAAUAGGGAUAGUUGGGGGCAUUAGUAUUCAAUUGUCAGAGGUGAAAUUCUUGGAUUUAUUGAAGACUAACUACUGCGAAAGCAUUUGCCAAGGAUGUUUUCAUUAAUCAAGAACGAAAGUUAGGGGAUCGAAGACGAUCAGAUACCGUCGUAGUCUUAACCAUAAACUAUGCCGACUAGGGAUCGGAUGAUGUUAAUUUUUUAAUGACUCAUUCGGCGCCUUACGGGAAAC